rnacentral:rRNA from 1 species
GUGGGGAAUAUUGGACAAUGGGCGAAAGUCUGAUCCAGCCAUGCCGCGUGUGUGAAGAAGGUCUUCGGAUUGUAAAGCACUUUAAGUUGGGAGGAAGGGCAGUAAGUUAAUACCUUGCUGUUUUGACGUUACCGACAGAAUAAGCACCGGCUAACUUCGUGCCAGCAGCCGCGGUAAUACGAAGGGUGCAAGCGUUAAUCGGAAUUACUGGGCGUAAAGCGCGCGUAGGUGGUUUUGUAAGUUGGAGGUGAAAUCCCCGGGCUCAACCUGGGAACUGCCUCCAAAACUGCAUGACUAGAGUACGGUAGAGGAUAGUGGAAUUUCCUGUGUAGCGGUGAAAUGCGUAGAUAUAGGAAGGAACACCAGUGGCGAAGGCGACUACCUGGACUGAUACUGACACUGAGGUGCGAAAGCGUGGGGAGCAAACAGGAUUAGAAACCCUAGUAGUCC